AGUUCAUGAGCACACAGGACAUUGUCUGAACAUAAUGAUUUCAAAAUUUGAGCUUAAAGUGACAUUCUAAAAUA
ensembl:snoRNA